rnacentral:snoRNA from 1 species
GGAAAAUUUCCAUUUGCAAUAGUCUUAAAAAUAUGGCUACAACAGGUCAGCCCAGGCCCUAUACCUGGUCUGUAUUGUGAAUGGGGAGACAUGG